AAACUUCCCCAACAAGCUGAAUCACACUGGGAAAAGCUGCUGCCUGGGAUUUUUCUUCUCCAAAAAAUAAUUUGUUUAUAUGAAUGCAUCGCUGUAGCUGCUGCAAGGGCUAUCCAGGUCUUCAGGAAGGGGAUACUGCAGCAGUCUUUCCUCCUAGGGCAUCACUUUCAUGUCAGGGUUGAGGUGCUAAACCUUGACAUACAACUGAGAGAAGAAUCUCCCUGAACUGAACAAAUGUGUCACUUUUGAAUAAGGAUUCAUGAAAAGGCAGAAGAGGAGAAGAAAAAAGAAUAAAG